ensembl:lncRNA
GGAGAGGGGUAGCUGCCAGGUCCCUGUGGUGCGCUGAUAAGCCAGGCUGCUGGGUUGGCACCGCGGGGACACACCGCAGAUUGAUACGCUGCUCAUUUAUCAGCUUAUUCUAAUCCACGGCUCCUCCACACGGACAAGAGACGCCGUACCCAGACCUCCGCUAGACGGACCAAGCUGUCAGCAUGGGGACAGUGACGAUGAUGAUGAUGAAGGUGGGGGCGAGGGUGAUAUGAGGGCGGAUGCUGAUGAUGAUUUUGGCGGUCAGGACGUUCACCGAUACGACGUGAGAUCAUGAGGGAGGGACAUGGAUGGCUCGUCCAUUCCUCGGGGUCAGAGGUCGGGCCGGUCUCAGAGAGAGGCUGUCACUGCGAGUCAAAACAUUUGAUGGCCAUCCGUGCGUGAUGAGGCCGCUGUUACUGGGGAGGAGAGGAAGACGAGGGGGGGGACCGAGAGGAAGAUGAAGAUGAAGAGCGAGAGAAAGGCUGGUGAUACAGAGCAGCCUCCUGAUUAAUUGAAGUAAAGCGCUCCUUCCCAUCUGCAGAUGGGGCUGGGAACUCGCUGCUCACCACCUGGUCUGGAGUCAGGGCCCAACUGCUGCUGGGCUGCUGCUGCCGUGACAAUGAGGCUGACCCGCUUUUACAUGUAUUCUGACGUGAGGGAUGCUUGUCCCAGUUUGUCAGUUCAGCUCUGGUUAAAAUAUGAAGCUCUGGUUUAUUGUUGUGGUGCUUUUUGUGAAAGGUUUCCCCCAAAUGAUUGUAUAGUAGAAAUGUAUUACAUUUUCAUUGAUGAAAUGACCUGGGUCAGUUUGCAAAUGGAGCACUUUUUUUGUUGAUGAACCAGAUUAAUGUUUUGUACUCUGGCUUGUUAGUAUAGCAGAAACCUCAGCGCAGGAAAAA